GACGAGGGAUCCUAGCGUUGCUCGGAAUUAUUGGGCGUAAAGCGGGUGUAGGUGGCUUGGUAAGUCGGGUGUGAAAGCCCAGGGCUCAACCCUGGAAGUGCAUUCGAUACUGCUGAGCUUGAGUGCGAGAGAGGUUAUUAGAAUACCUGGUGUAGUGGUGAAAUACGUAGAUAUCAGGUGAACACCGGAGCGAAGGCGGAUACUGGCUCGACACUGACACUGAGACCCGAA
rnacentral:rRNA from 1 species